rnacentral:rRNA from 1 species
CACGUAGGGUGCGAGCGUUGUCCGGAAUUAUUGGGCGUAAAGAGCUCGUAGGCGGUGUGUCGCGUCGGCCGUGAAAACCUGCAGCUUAACUGUGGGCUUGCGGUCGAUACGGGCAUCACUGGAGUUCGGCAGGGGAGACUGGAAUUCCUGGUGUAGCGGUGAAAUGCGCAGAUAUCAGGAGGAACAACGGUGGCGAAAGCGGCUCCCUGGCCCGAUACUGACGCUCAUGUACGAAAGCGUGGGGAGCAAACAGG